AUUGAACGCUGGCGGCAUGCCUUACACAUGCAAGUCGAACGGUAACAGGUCUUCGGAUGCUGACGAGUGGCGAACGGGUGAGUAAUAUAUCGGAACGUGCCCAGUUGUGGGGGAUAACUACUCGAAAGAGUGGCUAAUACCGCAUACGACCUGAGGGUGAAAGCGGGGGAUCGCAAGACCUCGCGCAAUUGGAGCGGCCGAUAUCAGAUUAGGUAGUUGGUGGGGUAAAGGCCCACCAAGCCGACGAUCUGUAGCUGGUCUGAGAGGACGACCAGCCACACUGGGACUGAGACACGGCCCAGACUCCUACGGGAGGCAGCAGUGGGGAAUUUUGGACAAUGGACGCAAGUCUGAUCCAGCCAUGCCGCGUGCGGGAAGAAGGCCUCGG
rnacentral:rRNA from 1 species